AGAGAGAGAGAGAGAGAGAGAGAAGGAAAGAGAUGGGUUAGGCUGCAAAUAGAGCUGGAGGGUUCUGGGUUAGUUUUCAGUUUUGGGUGGUGGCGUUGAGUGUGAUGGAAGUGGAAAUAUUGAAUGGCCGGGCCUUUUGGGAGAGGCAGCAGCAGAAGCAGGUAUCAGAAUGGUGGCAGCAGUUGCACAAGCAACAAGAAGAGAUUAGUAAGCAGAAGCAAAGACAGAGCAGUAAAGAAACAACCACCACUCACUAAAGAAAAGUGCCCUCCAUUAAAAGCUGGAACAGAAAAAGCGCAAGGGCCUGAGUCUGGAUCCUCAACGGAACGAUCGUCACCUUCACCAUUAUCAUCAACAUCAAGACAUCAUAACCCUAAAUUCAAGACAUGUAGAAGGAGGAGAAGGAGAAAGAGAGCAACAAGAACUAGAUCACCACCAACCACAGAAACACCAUUACUACCAUCAUCAAUUACCCUUUCUUCUCCAACAAGAUCAAAACCAGCAUUUCUAUCAAAGAUUGGAUUUACAACAAAUACAAAACCCUCUAAACCCAUCAAAGAAACGAUCUUGCUUC
rnacentral:misc_RNA from 1 species